rnacentral:rRNA from 1 species
AUUCCAGCUCCAAUAGCGUAUAUUAAAGUUGUUGCAGUUAAAAAGCUCGUAGUUGGAUUUCUGUUCUCGAGGAUCGGUCCGCCUCACGGUGAGCACUGGUUUUUCUUGGGGACAUCCUCUCGAAGGCGGGUGGUGCACUUAAUUGUGUGCUGCUUGGAUUCGGGACCUUUACUUUGAAAAAAUUAGAGUGUUCAAAGCAGGCGUCGGCUUGAAUACAUUAGCAUGGAAUAAUGGAAUAGGACUUUGGUUCUAUUUUGUUGGUUUCUAGGACCGAAGUAAUGAUUAAUAGGGACAGUUGCGGGUAUUUGUAUUCCAUAGUCAGAGGUGAAAUUCUUGGAUUUAUGGAAGACAAACUAAUGCGAAAGCAUCUACCAAGGAUGUUUUCAUUA